ensembl:snoRNA
AUCCUUUUGUAGUUCAUAAGCAUGAUGAUUGGGUUUCCCUGCGCAUGCGUGAGAUGUGCCACCCACAAAUCUUGGUAGGACAUCAGCACAUUACUCGUCUGACA